AUGGCGUCGAUCCGGCGGCCGCACUCGCCGGCCAGGGCGCAGCACCUGCUGCGGCACAACCACCCCUUCGCCACCGCCUCGCCGCCCUCCUCACCGCUGCGCCACGCCUCCUCCGCCGCCUCGGCCGCCGCGCCCUCCUCCUCGCCGAGGAAGCCGGGCUACCCGCACCCGUUCCUCUUCUUCUCCCGCCGCCCGCUGCCGCGCUUCGCCGCCUUCUUCCUCCUCGGCUCCUUCAUCGGCCUGCUCCACCUCCUCUCCCACCUCCCGCUCCACCACACCCUCCCCUCCCACUCCUCCUCCUCCCCCCACCCCACCCACCUCCACCACCACCCGCAGGACCAGCCCAUGACCCAGCAGCAGCAGCAGUACCUAGCCGACGACGCGGCCGGCGGCGGCGAGGAGGGGGACGCCAACGACAAGCUGCUCAUCGUCGUCACGCCCACGCGCGCGCGGGCCUCGCAGGCCUACUACCUGAGCCGGAUGGGCCAGACGCUGCGCCUGGUCCGCCCGCCCGUGCUCUGGGUCGUCGUCGAGGCCGGCAAGCCCACCGCCGAGGCCGCCCUCGCGCUGCGCCGCACCGCCGUCAUGCACCGCUACGUCGGCUGCUGCGACGCCCUCAACGCCUCCGCCUCCCCCGCCGUCGACUUCCGCCCGCACCAGCUCAACGCCGGCCUCGAGGUCGUCGAGAACCACCGCCUCGACGGCGUCGUCUACUUCGCCGACGAGGAGGGCGUCUACUCCCUGCCGCUCUUCGACCGCCUCCGCCAGAUCAGGAGGUUCGGCACAUGGCCUGUUCCGACGAUCUCCGAGGGCGGCCACGACGUGGUGCUGGAAGGGCCCGUAUGCAAGCAGAACCAAGUUGUGGGGUGGCACACAAGUGGGGGUGCCAACAAGCUCCAGAGAUUUCAUGUCGCCAUGUCGGGCUUCGCGUUCAACAGCACCAUGCUCUGGGAUCCCAGGCUGAGGUCCCAUCGGGCCUGGAACUCGAUCCGGCACCCGGAAAUGGUGGAACAGGGCUUCCAAGGAACCACGUUUGUGGAGCAGUUAGUGGAGGAUGAGAGCCAGAUGGAGGGCAUACCUGCAGACUGCUCCCAAAUAAUGAACUGGCAUGUGCCAUUUGGAUCUGAGAGCCCGGUCUAUCCCAAAGGGUGGCGGUCCGCGGCGAAUCUGGAUGUGAUUAUCCCUCUAAAAUAA
rnacentral:rRNA from 1 species